GUGAGUAACGCGUGGAUAACCUGCCUCACACAGGGGGACAACAGCCGGAAACGGCUGCUAAUACCGCAUAACACAAGUAAUUCGCAUGAAUAACUUGCCAAAGAUUUUAUCGGUGUGAGAUGGAUCCGCGUCUGAUUAGCCAGUUGGCGGGGUAACGGCCCACCAAAGCGACGAUCAGUAGCCGACCUGAGAGGGUGACCGGCCACAUUGGGACUGAGACACGGCCCAAACUCCUACGGGAGGCAGCAGUGGGGAAUAUUGCACAAUGGGCGAAAGCCUGAUGCAGCGACGCCGCGUGAAGGAUGAAGUAUUUCGGUAUGUAAACUUCUAUCAGCAGGGAAGAAAAUGACGGUACCUGACUAAGAAGCCCCGGCUAACUACGUGCCAGCAGCCGCGGUAAUACGUAGGGGGCAAGCGUUAUCCGGAUUUACUGGGUGUAAAGGGAGCGUAGAUGGCAUGGCAAGUCUGAAGUGAAAGCCCGGGGCUUAACCCCGGGACUGCUUUGGAAACUGUUAAGCUAGAGUGCAGGAGAGGUAAGCGGAAUUCCUAGUGUAGCGGUGAAAUGCGUAGAUAUUAGGAGGAACACCGGUGGCGAAGGCGGCUUACUGGACUGUAACUGACAUUGAGGCUCGA
rnacentral:rRNA from 1 species